GCGGUACCAAAAAUGCCUCUUAUGUGCGGCGGUGGAAGCGAAGCCAAAGCAUCUCAAAUCCGCCAUUUCGCUCCCCCAACUAGUUUUACCUUUCUCAUUUUCCCCCAGACCCCAAUAAACUCGUCUCAGUCUCAUAAAAAUGCCAGGAUUUGAGAUAUGGCCGAGAAAUUCACAAUCCCAAACUCCAUCCUCAAUAGAUUUAACUCCCAGCUCUUCUAGCUCAUCCACUCUCGGUGGCAUAUUUCUGGAGCCCACCGUUUAUUCUUCUACUGUUAAUUUUAUUUCUCAUAAAUGCUCUUCAAUCACUAUUUCAAAUCCCAUUUCCUUUUAUAAACACGCGAAUUUCGGGGGCUUAAAGAGAGGAAGGAGGAGUAGAGGUAUUAAUGAAGUGGUGGUUAGUGGUGUUUUUCUGUCAGUGAGCUUGAGAAAUGAUGGGCUCCUGCAGGAAUCUAAGGUGUGUUUGGUUCAAAACGAAGAUAGCAAGAGCCUGGAGGAGGAGGAUAAGGUGGCAGAGGGAGGUAAUAUUGUUUUGGAGAGUAAAGAGAACCGGAAGGUUAAGGCGCGAGGAGGUUUUGCUAUGAAUACCACUAAGCAUCUGUGGGCUGGUGCCAUUGCUGCCAUGGUUUCAAGAACUUGUGUGGCACCGCUUGAGCGAUUAAAACUGGAAUAUAUAGUUCGCGGUGAGCAAAAGAAUAUUGUUGAGCUAAUCAAGACAAUUGCUACUACUCAAGGCUUGAAGGGUUUUUGGAAAGGGAAUCUUGUUAACAUUCUUCGCACUGCUCCAUUUAAAGCGGUCAAUUUUUGUGCUUAUGACACAUAUCGGAAGCAACUGCUUAGAUUCUCAGGAAAUGAGGAAACAACGAAUUUCGAAAGGUUCAUUGCUGGUGCUGGUGCUGGCAUUACUGCGACAAUUCUCUGUUUACCACUUGACACGAUCCGGACCAAGAUAGUUGCACCUGGUGGAGAAGCUUUGGGUGGUGUAAUUGGUGCUUUUCGCCACAUGAUACAAACUGAAGGUUUCUUUUCACUUUACAAGGGCUUAGUACCUUCUAUCUUAAGUGUGGCACCAUCAGGGGCAGUUUUCUAUGGUGUGUAUGACAUACUGAAAUCAGCUUAUCUUCAUUCACCGGAAGGUCAGAAGAGACUUCAGUAUAUGAGCCAUCACGGGCAGGAAUUAAAUGCCUUGGACCAACUGGAGUUGGGACCAAUCAGGACAUUAGUGUAUGGGGCAAUUGCUGGUGCUUGUGCAGAAUUUUCUACAUACCCAUUUGAAGUUGUGAGGAGACGGCUUCAAUUGCAAGUCCGGGCUACCAAGAUGAGUGCAUUGGUGACCUGUGUCAAGAUAGUUGAGCAAGGAGGAAUUCCAGCUCUUUAUGCUGGACUGUUUCCCAGCCUGCUGCAGGUACUUCCUUCAGCUGCAAUUAGUUACUUCGUCUAUGAGUUUAUGAAGAUUGUUCUCAAAGUGGAAUGACAGAGGAAAUAUGAUCUAUUAGAGAAAACUUGUAGGUGGCAUGUAUACUAGUGGCUCAAGAUGAGCACUGGAUAUAAAUCAGAAUGUGAGGGCUGGUGGUGGGAAAUCGAUAUCAAAAGAUGCGGAAGACUGGCUUCCGACAAAAAGAUUGUUUUGACCAGGCAGUUAUGAAUCUCAUCUCCAUCCCGAUAUGAUAUGAACAGUGUUGCAAGCUUAGCCCAAUCUUUCGAGUAACAUUUUGAUGAUUACUUCAUCGUAGAUUUUUUUAUUUCGAUUACACUUGGAUACUUUUGUUGAGGUAAUCCAUGGUGAAGUUCCGCCAAAUUUGAAAUUGCACUUA